rnacentral:lncRNA from 1 species
UAAAGACUCUUUCUUAGUGAAUCCUUAUACUAUUUGCGGGUUCCCACGACAUGUGGCGACCCGCGAUUGGUUGAUAUAUAUUUUUUUUUAUCUGAAAAAGAAAAAAAAAUAAUACUUAAAAAUCAAAAUACACUUUUUUCUAAGGACUCCUCUUUGGUAACACCAUUGCGGGUGCUCUUAAAAUCCAUAUUUAAGAACCGGUUCUUACCUUUUUUAGUUAAAAGUUAAGAAACAGUUUCUUAACUUCCGCUAAGAACUCCAUCCUAAGAACCUCUAAGUGUCUCAAUGUAAAAACUAAGACUAUAUGAAUGAAUUUUGUUCAUCUUCUACCAACUCUGUUUUCUAGUUUUGUUCUUGAUACAUAGUAUCAUAGCCAUAACGUUCCACACC